AUUGAACGCUGGCGGCAUGCCUUACACAUGCAAGUCGAACGGCAGCACGGGAGCAAUCCUGGUGGCGAGUGGCGAACGGGUGAGUAAUAUAUCGGAACGUGCCCAGUCGUGGGGGAUAACGCAGCGAAAGCUGUGCUAAUACCGCAUACGAUCUAAGGAUGAAAGUGGGGGAUCGCAAGACCUCGCGCGAUUGGAGCGGCCGAUAUCAGAUUAGCUAGUUGGUGGGGUAAAGGCCCACCAAGGCGACGAUCUGUAGCUGGUCUGAGAGGACGACCAGCCACACUGGAACUGAGACACGGUCCAGACUCCUACGGGAGGCAGCAGUGGGGAAUUUUGGACAAUGGGCGCAAGCCUGAUCCAGCAAUGCCGCGUGCAGGAUGAAGGCCUUCGGGUUGUAAACUGCUUUUGUACGGAACGAAACAGCCCUUUCUAAUACAGGGGGCUAAUGACGGUACCGUAAGAAUAAGCACCGGCUAACUACGUGCCAGCCGCCGCAGUAA
rnacentral:rRNA from 1 species